rnacentral:lncRNA from 1 species
CAAAGAUGAAUAGACUCAUCCAUGUUUCUAUUUGUGUUCUCUUUAUUUCUGUUACUGGCAUCCUAGUAAAAGCCGAUAAUGCACCUUCUCCAUCGCCAAAGACAACUCUUGUGUCUCCGGCGAAACCUCCGACCACUUCUUCAAGUCCUCCAAUGACAUCACCUUCUAAAUCUCCUUCAUCAUCACCUCCGUCGGCAACUCCUGCCAGUUCCCCAUCGAUAAUAUCGCCUCCGCCUGCAACAACUCCCACUGCUAUGCCCACACCUUCUCAAAAUCCUACUGCCACUCCGCCUGUUUCUUCUAGCCCCCCGGCUCAAUCCCCAGCGACUCCACCA